rnacentral:rRNA from 1 species
GAGUUUGAUCGUGGCUCAGAUUGAACGCUGGCGGCAUGCCUUACACAUGCAAGUCGAACGGCAGCACGGGAGCUUGCUCCUGGUGGGCGAGUGGCGAACGGGUGAGUAAUGCAUCGGAACGUAUCCUGGAGUGGGGGAUAACGUAGCGAAAGUUACGCUAAUACCGCAAUAUUCUGUGAGCAGGAAAGCGGGGGACCUUCGGGCCUCGCGCUCUUGGAGCGGCCGAUGUCGGAUUAGCUAGUUGGUGAGGUAAAGGCUCACCAAGGCGACGAUCCGUAGCAGGUCUGAGAGGAUGAUCUGCCACACUGGAACUGAGACACGGUCCAGACUCCUACGGGAGGCAGCAGUGGGGAAUUUUGGACAAUGGGGGCAACCCUGAUCCAGCCAUGCCGCGUGAGUGAAGAAGGCC